rnacentral:rRNA from 1 species
UACAGAGGGUGCUAGCGUUGUUCGGAAUCAUUGGGCGUAAAGGGCGUGUAGGCGGUUUGUUAAGUCAUGUGUGAAAUCCCUCGGCUCAACCGGGGAACGACGCAUGAAACUGGCAAGCUAGAGUACCAAAGAGGGGGGUGGAAUUCCCGGUGUAGCGGUGGAAAUGCGUAGAUAUCGGGAGGAACACCUGUGGCGAAGGCGGCCCCCUGGUUGGAUACUGACGCUGAGACGCGAAAGCGUGGGGAG